rnacentral:sRNA from 1 species
AAAAACACGCACAUAAAUCCUACAGUUUAAACUGAUAUGCUAUGCCUAAAUACAAGGAAAGGAAUGUGAAUGGCGUAAUUUACAAACAGGUGUAUACAAGGUCACGUUCCGCUAACAUUAAAAAAACAAAAGGUAAUAAUGGGAUUGAAUUUGCCCCCUUAACGAGAAACCAAAGGUCACUGAAGGACAUCUAUAACGAUACCAUGCAGGCCUCUCUUGGUUUGGCAUUUGCUUAAACAACAAGAAGGAAAACGGACGGCAAGAAACGUCGCAAACGACCAUCGGGACUUGGAUCCCGUUAAGCCGUGACUUACGCCUCCUUCAUGGAUUAG